GAUGAACGCUGGCGGCGUGCCUAAUACAUGCAAGUCGAGCGAACGGACGAGAAGCUUGCUUCUCUGAUGUUAGCGGCGGACGGGUGAGUAACACGUGGAUAACCUACCUAUAAGACUGGGAUAACUUCGGGAAACCGGAGCUAAUACCGGAUAAUAUUUUGAACCGCAUGGUUCAAAAGUGAAAGACGGUCUUGCUGUCACUUAUAGAUGGAUCCGCGCUGCAUUAGCUAGUUGGUAAGGUAACGGCUUACCAAGGCAACGAUGCAUAGCCGACCUGAGAGGGUGAUCGGCCACACUGGAACUGAGACACGGUCCAGACUCCUACGGGAGGCAGCAGUAGGGAAUCUUCCGCAAUGGGCGAAAGCCUGACGGAGCAACGCCGCGUGAGUGAUGAAGGUCUUCGGAUCGUAAAACUCUGUUAUUAGGGAAGAACAUAUGUGUAAGUAACUGUGCACAUCUUGACGGUACCUAAUCAGAAAGCCACGGCUAACUACGUGCCAGCAGCCGCGGUAAUACGUAGGUGGCAAGCGUUAUCCGGAAUUAUUGGGCGUAAAGCGCGCGUAGGCGGUUUUUUAAGUCUGAUGUGAAAGCCCACGGCUCAACCGUGGAGGGUCAUUGGAAACUGGAAAACUUGAGUGCAGAAGAGGAAAGUGGAAUUCCAUGUGUAGCGGUGAAAUGCGCAGAGAUAUGGAGGAACACCAGUGGCGAAGGCGACUUUCUGGUCUGCAACUGACGCUGAUGUGCGAAAGCGUGGGGAUCAAACAGGAUUAGAUACCCUGGUAGUCCACGCCGUAAACGAUGAGUGCUAAGUGUUAGGGGGUUUCCGCCCCUUAGUGCUGCAGCUAACGCAUUAAGCACUCCGCCUGGGGAGUACGACCGCAAGGUUGAAACUCAAAGGAAUUGACGGGGACCCGCACAAGCGGUGGAGCAUGUGGUUUAAUUCGAAGCAACGCGAAGGACCUUACCAAAUCUUGACAUCCUUUGACAACUCUAGAGAUAGAGCUUUCCCCUUCGGGGGACAAAGUGACAGGUGGUGCAUGGUUGUCGUCAGCUCGUGUCGUGAGAUGUUGGGUUAAGUCCCGCAACGAGCGCAACCCUUAAGCUUAGUUGCCAUCAUUAAGUUGGGCACUCUAAGUUGACUGCCGGUGACAAACCGGAGGAAGGUGGGGAUGACGUCAAAUCAUCAUGCCCCUUAUGAUUUGGGCUACACACGUGCUACAAUGGACAAUACAAAGGGCAGCGAAACCGCGAGGUCAAGCAAAUCCCAUAAAGUUGUUCUCAGUUCGGAUUGUAGUCUGCAACUCGACUACAUGAAGCUGGAAUCGCUAGUAAUCGUAGAUCAGCAUGCUACGGUGAAUACGUUCCCGGGUCU
rnacentral:rRNA from 1 species